CAUUCCAUGUGUCCCUCACCGAAAGGUCUUACCAUCUUACAACUUGGUAGAUUUCAGCGCAGAGCCCAGAUUCCCCAAAGGAAGAUUUCACAGCGACUCCCUUGUUAGAAUUCCAGUGGUGAUGUCAAAACUAUGUCUCUAGUACCAGCCUCCUGAGAAGUCCCACUCACAUUGCCAAGUUCCUGCUGGCAUUGCCAUGUGAGUGAAUGAAACCUCAGGAAACUUAGUGGAAGCACACUGCCGUCUUUAACCCAGAAGUCAUGGAUAUCUGUGCUCCUAAUCUUUACAAGAAGUGUCAUCAUUUGUCCAUUUGAGCGAGUCUUGAUGUGCAGUCCAGGCUGAUGUAUAACUUGGUAUAUAGAACAGACCGGCCUCAAUGUGAUGGCAAUCUUUCUGCCUUACCUCCUGAAUGCUGGGGACAGUGUGAGCUCCACACCAGCCUGCUUCCCUCUGUUGUUUGCCUCUGGUGUGCGUCAUCUUGACGAAGUCUGACUAUCAGUGUAUCUCCUUUAUCAGUUUCCAAGGAUCUUGUCAUCAAGAAUGGGGUGUUUUUCUGCUUAUUCACAUCCUCAGUCCAGGCCUUGACCUGAGCUUGGUAUCUGUUUGAAACGUGGCAAACUCUGGCAAAUUAAAACUUUGGUACCC
rnacentral:lncRNA from 1 species